CUGGCUCAUAUUGAACGCUGGCGGCAUGCCUUACACAUGCAAGUCGAACGGCAGCACGGGCUUCGGCCUGGUGGCGAGUGGUGAACGGGUGAGUAAUACAUCGGAACAUGUCCUGUAGUGGGGGAUAGCCCGGCGAAAGCCGGAUUAAUACCGCAUACGAUCUGAGGAUGAAAGCGGGGGACCUUCGGGCCUCGCGCUAUAGGGUUGGCCGAUGGCUGAUUAGCUAGUUGGUGGGGUAAAGGCCUACCAAGGCGACGAUCAGUAGCUGGUCUGAGAGGACGACCAGCCACACUGGGACUGAGACACGGCCCAGACUCCUACGGGAGGCAGCAGUGGGGAAUUUUGGACAAUGGGCGCAAGCCUGAUCCAGCAAUGCCGCGUGUGUGAAGAAGGCCUUCGGGUUGUAAAGCACUUUUGUCCGGAAAGAAAUCAUUCUGGCUAAUACCCGGAGUGGAUGACG
rnacentral:rRNA from 1 species